UGCUGAAUGGAAGGCAGUAAUCUGUGGACGUGUAAUGCUUGCUAGGAGUGGAGCAGGUGUUUACCAUCCUCCAAGCAUAACGCAGUAACCAUCACAAGGGCCUUUCACUUUAAUUUAAAACAGCUGAGCACUCACGGGGCCAUUGCUAAUCCUCAAGUUAAACAACAGGCUUUUUCCAGAGUUGCAUGCCAACCUGAUGGAGUGGCCAAAGGAACUCCCACCCAUUGUUCAUGUGUGUCUAUGCCAGGUCCUUGCAAACAGCUGCUCAUUUCAGCCUGAUGAAGCAUUUCUCCUCGCAAGCAUUGGGGAAAUCUUUGUUGAGUGAUGAGAACUGCAAAUGGAAAUCCUGCAUUUCCAAACAAAUUUCGUCUGUGUUCUUCAAAUGCUAUGGAGAUUGUUGGGAGGGCAUCUUCUAUUCCCGCUGGAAUGAUAAUCUAAAAGUAAGUGGCACUAAGCUGGAUAAAAGUCGCCAUGACUUCGCGGAACCAUGUGAUUUACAUGGUGGAACCAUGUAACUACAGGGGUAUGGUGAGUUUCUGACUCAUCCAUCUCUGCCUGCUGGUCCAUCUGAGCUGUGGACUAAGAGUGGACCUCUCCCCUGCCCCAUGGCAAGCACGUGGACUUCAGAAAGGCAAAAGAUGUAGCGCUGUGAUUCAGAAAUGGUGAAAUAAAAUCAACAGGAUCGCCACUGCUGAUGGUGGAUGAAUUUA
rnacentral:sRNA from 1 species